GGUAGAUCGUGUUUUGAAAUCCAAAAAGGACUCAAUUCUGCCUAUUUUAAACAUAUUUUCUAUAAAUUCUGAGAUUAAAAGCAAAAUAAUUUCUCAAUAUUCCAAUAUUCACCUAAUAAAUUGGGAAAAUAUUGAAAAUACUUCAACAUUUUGGUCAGAAGUGAAGAGGUAUCGGGAUUCUGCAGGCAGCAGGCAACAACACCGAUGAGGACCUGGUGAAUUUUGCUCUUAGCCUGCUUUCAUUGCCAUGGUCAAAUGCUGAAGUAGAGAGAGUUUAUAGCCAAGUAAAUUUGGUGAAAACCAAAAUUAGGAACCGAUUAGAGGUGGAUACAUUAAAUGCCAUUUUGGCAAUCAGAUUCGGAUUGCGUCGCCAUAAGUUAUGCUGUCAUAAUUAUAACUUGCCUGAGAAGUACCUCCAAUUAAUUGGCUCCAUGGCUACAUAUGAGGACAGCAAUGAUGAUGACGGGAAAAUAAUAGAAGAUGCCUUAAAACUAUUAUCUUAAUAAUAAAAAAUAAUAAUA